UCUGAUGGCGAUAGCAGAGAGGUCACACCCGUUCCCAUAUCGAACACGGAAGUUAAGUUCUCUAGCGCCAAUGGUAGUGGGGACUUUGUCCUCGGGAGAGUAGGACGUUGUCAGGC
rnacentral:rRNA from 1 species